rnacentral:rRNA from 1 species
GACGAACGCUGGCGGCGCGCCUAACACAUGCAAGUCGAACGGAGCUGCGAGAAGCUUGCUUUUCUUAGCUUAGUGGCGAACGGGUGAGUAACGCGUGAGUAACCUGCCCUGGAGCGGGGGACAACAGUUGGAAACGACUGCUAAUACCGCAUAAGCCCACGAUCCGGCAUCGGAUUGAGGGAAAAGGAUUUAUUCGCUUCAGGAUGGACUCGCGUCCAAUUAGCUAGUUGGUGAGGUAACGGCCCACCAAGGCGACGAUUGGUAGCCGGACUGAGAGGUUGAACGGCCACAUUGGGACUGAGACACGGCCCAGACUCCUACGGGAGGCAGCAGUGGGGGAUAUUGCACAAUGGGGGAAACCCUGAUGCAGCGACGCCGCGUGGAGGAAGAAGGUUUUCGGAUUGUAAACUCCUGUCGUUAGGGACGAUAAUGACGGUACCUAACAAGAAAGCACCGGCUAACUACGUG